AGCCUCGCGACCGAUGUAAAGCGACAUUUCUUCUAUGUAUAUUGCAGACAAGAAUAGUGCCAUAUUACGUUACAACAUCCUGGAUUCUCAGUACAGAAGAACUCUAUUUUUCUCAAAUUUCACUCGUUAAUUAACCAGGAUCAAACUAAAUAACUCCGUUCAAUUAACUAUCCCAAGAUCCGUCAAAGUAAAACCUAGUUGCUUAGUCGAGGUUCUUCCAAUAAAAAAACAGAAUCGAUUUCACAAUAAUCCUUUAAAAAAAUCGAAGUUAUAUUGUAAAUCAAUCUGAACAAGAAGCUUUUAAAAGGGCAAUUUCUCUCUUGAAACUGGGGCUGCUGCUUAUUGGUAUCUUUAUUGGUUUCUCUCCCUCUCGCGCUAAAUAUAUAUCAGUGUUGUUUGAUUUGUCUCCUUUGUACGAUAACACGCGAGUUGAACACGGAGAAACAGUUGAGACUGAGCCGGCUAUUUCAAGGAAAUUGUAUUUUGACAAUAAUCCUUUAAAAAAAUCGAAGUUAUAUUGUAAAUCAAUCUGAACAAGAAGCUUUUAAAAGGGCAAUUUCUCUCUUGAAAUCUUUUUAUUGGUUUCUCUCCCUCUCGCGCUAAAUAUAUAUCAGUGUUGUUUGAUUUGUCUCCUUUGUACGAUAACACGCGAGUUGAACACGGAGAAACAGUUGAGACUGAGCCGGCUAUUUCAAGGAAAUUGUAUUUUUACCUUUUCGCAAAAGGAAUGGAAAAUCUUUUUAAAAAAUAAUAACAAUGAAAAAUCCGAAAAUGAGCUGGAAUAAUCUUUUUCUUUUCUUUUCUUUUUUAAGUAAGGCAACUGGAAUAAUCUUUUAAAUAUUCAUGUAAAAUUAAUUUUCAGAUAAAAAAAUGAAUUUGAUUUCUGUCCAAAAUAAUAUCUUCUUCUAAAUCAAAUUUCAAAUAUCUUUGAUUCAACAUCCGUUUUGAAAUUUAUAAUACCUCUACAAGUUGUAAAUUGCCCUUUUUCUUUUCAAUUACCGUAUUAUCUUGUCAAAAUUUUGAUCAUUAAUUAAUAAAGAAAAAAUUGUCCGCGAGAAAUAGUUGACUUCAAGUUUUCAUGUGCACCUACCUCAUGUUAUGUGGACUGCGUCCAAAUUUAUUUUCUUGUAAUAUCUCAAAUUGGUUGUUAAUAAUUUCAAUGAAGGAAAUUACCCUAUCGACUCAAAUUAGAGAAACAAAAUCCAACUUCGUAGAGUAGGUAUAAGAGGGUUUUUAAGAGCAUGUUUGGUACAGCUUAAAACACAAUUAAAAUCAAUUUUUUGACCGUUAUUUCACUAUUUCAGAUGUCAUUUUCGAAUUCUUCUCUUACAUGUAGCACUCACUUUAUCUCUAACGGUCAAAAAAUUAAUUAACAAAAUCCCUACCAAACAAACACUAAAUAUUUGGACGGUGUAAAUUUUUUUGCUCUUGAAGAUGAAGGGAUGGAAAGUCCACUGCAGCAGAUCAUCAACCAAAAUCAAUAUACGAAGGAAAACUUAAAAAAACAACAGGAGGGAGUAAAUGUUAAAACCAGUAAAUGGGAAAACUUACCAAGACAAACGAUAGAAAGACGAAUGUAAAUACUGUUUCACUGAUGUAAGCUUUGUCUAGUCCAAGCUCCUAUAAUAGUUCCAGAAGUUUGAGAUGAGUAAAGCCAGACAGCGAGUAGGCAUCUCAUUAGUAGUAAUAUCCAUGAAAAUACAUAAAACAUAUAUUUCUCACCGGAAGAAGAAAGAAGCCAACAUCCUGAAGUAUUGGUCCUGGCCGAUGAAAAUAAUGAAUUCCUCGAGCAGCUAGUCCGUGUAUGUACUGAAGAAAGAAGAUAAAGACAGAUUUCUCAUCUUAUGCAUUUCAAACCAACUAUAACAGGGAAAAGCACAGAAAAAUAAGCAAAAUUAAGUUCCUGGAACAGUUGUAAAUUAAACUAAAUGGAAUGGAGAAUAAAUCUUUCCUUUAUUAUUUGUAGCCAGAUAACACCAGAUCAGCUCUAAAGCCCCAUUACUUUGCUUAAUGAUGUUGCAAUAAAAGCACAAUUAUGAAUUAUUCAAAGACUAAUUUGUGAAGCACGUCAUGUUCACGUCACUCAAAUCAGAAAGUAGUUAAUUGAAGUCGAAUUUAAUGACGAGAACAAUCUGGAAAUAGCUACAGCUUACCCACUAAGCAACCUAACAAAGGCUUUUCGAAUUGCAGAAAACACAUCAAAAGACAAUCUUAAACUACUGGAAAGAUCUUAAGGUCUUCCACCAAAUUAUAAUCAUCAUAAAAUUCAUAAGACGAUAUUUCAUCAUAUCGGAAAUGGGUAAAGAUCAAUAUAUAUGUGUUUACACAAACCUGACAAAUGAGACCCCCUAGAAUAUACUUCCAAUUUUCUGCGAGAAGGUUGAUUUCGGUUGUAAUUUCCGCACAAAAUCUCUUCCAUAACUACUCACAAAUAACACAACAAAAAAUCGAUAAAACACCGCCAAAAGUAGCAUUAAUCAAACUAACAAAUGAAUUAAAAUAAACAUAGUAAAAAAUCGCAGAGAGAAAGUGCAGAUGAAAAACGAACCUUUGAAGCCUCGCGACCGAUGUAAAGCGACAUUUCUUCUAUGUAUAUUGCAGACAAGAAUAGUGCCAUAUUACGUUACAACAUCCUGGAUUCUCAGUACAGAAGAACUCUAUUUUUCUCAAAUUUCACUCGUUAAUUAACCAGGAUCAAACUAAAUAACUCCGUUCAAUUAACUAUCCCAAGAUCCGUCAAAGUAAAACCUAGUUGCUUAGUCGAGGUUCUUCCAAUAAAAAAACAGAAUCGAUUUCACAAUAAUCCUUUAAAAAAAUCGAAGUUAUAUUGUAAAUCAAUCUGAACAAGAAGCUUUUAAAAGGGCAAUUUCUCUCUUGAAAUCUUUUUAUUGGUUUCUCUCCC
rnacentral:lncRNA from 1 species